GAGGGAAGUCAGAUGUAGGGUCGUAAACCUAUUGAAGAAGGUAAAAAGAUCUAUAAACUAAGUCCAUGUAGAAGAAAAGGUCGGUAGCCAAGGAGGAAGCCCCGGCUAACUCCAGCCAGCAGGGUAAUAUAAAGGGUAGGGGGCGAGUCUUGUCCGGAUGGGCGUAAAGUAAAGGUAGAGUAGGCAAAAAUUCAUGUCAGAAGUUAAUAGGUUCAGCUGAGGCAUAGUAAGCACAAGUAUUUGUAUGGAGUGAGGGCGGGACAGCUAAAAUUCAUUCUGUAUGUAGGAAAGAAGUGGAUAUCUGGAGGGACGAACACGGGGAAGGAAGGUGGCUGGACCAAAAGUAACGGAGAGAGAGUCAAGAAAGGGUAGCUAACAAACAGGAAUAGCUACCUAGUUCACGCAGUAAAUAAAGAAUGAUAGGUGUAGGGGGGGUAGAGACAUUCAGUGCCGCAGAAACACAAUA
rnacentral:rRNA from 1 species